UACGUAGGUGGCAAGCGUUGUUCGGAAUUAUUGGGCGUAAAGGGCGCGUAGGCGAUUGGGCAAGUCUCCUGUGAAAGCCCCCGGCUUAACCGGGGAAGUGCAGAAGAUACUGCUUGAUUUGAGUUCCGGAGAGGAAGGCAGAAUUCCCGGUGUAGCGGUGAAAUGCGUAGAGAUCGGGAGGAAUACCAGUGGCGAAGGCGGCCUUCUGGACGGAUACUGACGCUGAGGCGCGAAAGCUAGGGGAGCAAACGGG
rnacentral:rRNA from 1 species